GCCUGGGUGGCUCAGUUGGUUAAGCGUCUGACUUCAGCUCAGGUCAUGAUCUCAGUGUUCGUGGGUUUGAGCCCCGCAUCGGGCU
rnacentral:tRNA from 1 species